GUCAGUUAGUUUUUCCCUAAUAGCUUGAGUUGUAAGCAAAGCAUCAAUAAAGGAUUAUUCUCUCUCUCCUUAGCAACUCAGUUUACAGUUGCUAAGCCCCAAAAUUGUGUGAUUGUUCUAAACAGUUUUCAUGGAAAUCAACUGAUUUCAUCAUUGUAUCAGAGCAGCAAAUUCAAGAUUCUGGUGCAACGCUUUCUUCUCUUUCUACUGAUAUGAUUCAAUCAACAUUCUGAGUUCUUCGAGGUCUGUUCAAUCCUCAUUUUUCUGCUGGUUUUUCUUCCUAAUUGCUGAUUGAUUAGGAACUUCUGCUUGCUGAUUUCUUUCAUUUUUCUGCAAAACUGCUUUGCUGAUUCUUCCUGAAAUCGUUUAUUGUUGUUAUACUGCUGCAAAUUCCUAGAAAUUUCAUCUAGAAUCUUAUUCAAAAUGACUACACCAAUUUUAGCCCCAAAUCAAGAUCCUGCAAGUCCUUUUUAUCUUCAUCCUACUGACAAUACAUCAAGUCAGUUGGUUUCAAUUAAGUUCAAAGGUGAAGGUUAUGGAGAUUGGAGGAGGAGUAUGAUGAUUUCUAUGUCAUCUAAAAACAAACUAGGUUUUGUUGAUGGUACAAUAACAAAACCAGAUCCUACACAUCCUACAAUUACCAGGCUUGGGCAAGGUGCAAUGAUAUGAUGAUAUCAUGGUUAUUGUUUAAUCUUGAUGGCUCAAUAUCCAAGAGUGUUCUGUAUUUCCACACUGCUAGGGAGAUAUGGUUAGAUCUAGAAGAUAGGUUUGGCUUUGUGUCUGGAACACAACUUUUCUCUCUAGAACAUCAGGCAGCUGAAAUAACACAAGGUGGACACAAUGUGGCUGAGAUUUUCACAGAAAUCAAGUCCAUAUGGGACAAGAUAAGUGCAGCAAAUCCAUUGCCAACAUGCACUUGUAAUCUCUGUGUGUGCAAUGUGACACAGAGAAUCUUUAAAAUGCAGCAGGAACAAAGGCUAAUGCAAUUUCUCAUGAAAUUGGGAGAACAUUUGGCUGUAACCAGAGGAAGCCUCCUAAUGAUGCAACCACUACCAACUAUUUCACAUGCCUACAGAAUGUUGGCACAGGAAGAGAGACAGAGAGAGAUUGGUGCUAUCUCACAACAGCAUGAGAGUCAUGCUUUUGGAGCUGACAGAAGAAGGUUUAAUGACAACCAAAACAAGAGUGUUUUCAAUCCUUCCAGGAAUCAACAACCCUAUUACAAGAGCAACUAUCCAGGAGGAAACAAGUCAUCUGUAAUUCCCCGUAAUUUUAUAAAUCUUUUUAAUAUAUUUUAACGUAUAGUUAAUUAUAUUUAAAUAGAAUUUACGAAUUUUAGAAAUAAAAAUGUAAUUAGCGAAUAUUUAUUUUUAUACGUUUUAAAUAUUUCAACGAUUUAUGAAAUUAAAAUAAUUUUAGAAUUUUAUGUUGAAAAGAAAUUGAAUUACGAAAACGAUUGAAUUUAGGAAAUGAUCCUAAUCGAUUUUGGAUUGAAAUCCUAAAACUAAAUCCUAAUUCUAGCCCAAUUGGCAAAGCCCAAAUAAUAAGACCCAAAACACUUUACUCCUUUCCUUCUCUUUCAAUUCACGUAAAAAGCCAAAAAAAAAACAAGAAACCAAAACCCCUUUCUCUUUCAUCAUUCACGUGCAUUUGCAAACCCUCAAACCUCCUCCUUCUUCAGCCACCGCGCCAACCACCGUCGGUCCAUCACUGCCUGCGCCACCGGUCCUCAUACGCACGCCCCGCAAAACCACCAACUCCACCUGAUCGUUGCCGCUUCGCUCACCCUCCCUGCAGUGCUGCCUUGCUGCACCGUACAUCAACCACCACAGCUUCCCAGUCAGGCUCGCUUUUUCGUCUCCUCCUCUCUGUUUCUUCCUUGCUCCGCACGCAUCGCCCAGCCACCACAACCAGCCGUGUCGACCACCAGUGUCGCACCCCUGCUGCGCAACCACGACCCUGCCGCCGCCGUUUCCCCCUCCGGCCGGCGCCCUCCUAUCUUUUUGGCGAAGAAUUCUCUUUAGGCGAUAUUUGAAAGUGUUAAAGUGGCCUAUUAGUUGUUUAUACAAGUCUCUAAGGAUCAAUAAGCGUUGUCCAUCUACAGGUUUGAAGAUGAUGCAUCAUGGGGAUCGGGAUUAGAGAGCUUGUAUUGUUUUUGUCUUGCUAUGUUAUUUGGGUUUGUUAAUUGAGACUUUAAACUUGUCGUACUAUUUAUAUUUCCUUAUUUUCGUUGGUUGAUUAUUGGGACUAAACCUGUAAUCGAUUAUUUAUAAACAUUAAACAGAGACAUCAAAGCCAUUCUCCAAUAUGCUUGAUUCCCAUAGCUGCAGUGUGCGAGUUGUGCUUCGCCUGCGGCAGAGGUUUAGUCAAUGGAUCUGAUAUGUUGUCAUCAGUUCCAAUUUUGCUUAUCUCGACUUCUUUUCUUUCAACGAACUCUCGUAGAAGGUGAAAUCUACGAAGUACAUGCUUGACUCUCUGGUG